rnacentral:rRNA from 1 species
GACGAACGCUGUCGGCGUGCUUAACACAUGCAAGUCGAACGGAAAGGCCCUGCUUUUGUGGGGUGCUCGAGUGGCGAACGGGUGAGUAACACGUGAGUAACCUGCCCUUGACUUUGGGAUAACUUCAGGAAACUGGGGCUAAUACCGGAUAGGAGCUCCUGCUGCAUGGUGGGGGUUGGAAAGUUUCGGCGGUUGGGGAUGGACUCGCGGCUUAUCAGCUUGUUGGUGGGGUAGUGGCUUACCAAGGCUUUGACGGGUAGCCGGCCUGAGAGGGUGACCGGCCACAUUGGGACUGAGAUACGGCCCAGACUCCUACGGGAGGCAGCAGUGGGGAAUAUUGCACAAUGGGCGGAAGCCUGAUGCAGCAGCGCCGCGUGCGGGAUGACGGCCUUCGGGUUGUAAACCGCUUUCGCCUGUGACGAAGCGUGAGUGACGGUAAUGGGUAAAGAAGCACCGGCUAACUACGUGCCAGCAGCCGCGGUGAUACGUAGGGUGCGAGCGUUGUCCGGAUUUAUUGGGCAUAAAGGGCUCGUAGGUGGUUGAUCGCGUCGGAAGUGUAAUCUUGGGGCUUAACCCUGAGCGUGCUUUCGAUACGGGUUGACUUGAGGAAGGUAGGGGAGAAUGGAAUUCCUGGUGGAGCGGUGGAAUGCGCAGAUAUCAGGAGGAACACCAGUGGCGAAGGCGGUUCUCUGGGCCUUUCCUGACGCUGAGGAGCGAAAGCGUGGGGAGCGAACAGGCUUAGAUACCCUGGUAGUCCACGCUGUAAACGGUGGGUACUAGGUGUGGGGUCCAUUCCACGGGUUCCGUGCCGUAGCUAACGCUUUAAGUACCCCGCCUGGGGAGUACGGCCGCAAGGCUAAAACUCAAAGGAAUUGACGGGGCCCCGCACAAGCGGCGGAGCAUGCGGAUUAAUUCGAUGCAACGCGUAGAACCUUACCUGGGUUUGACAUGGAUCGGGAGUGCUCAGAGAUGGGUGUGCCUCUUUUGGGGUCGGUUCACAGGUGGUGCAUGGCUGUCGUCAGCUCGUGUCGUGAGAUGUUGGGUUAAGUCCCGCAACGAGCGCAACCCUUGUUCACUGUUGCCAGCACGUUAUGGUGGGGACUCAGUGGAGACCGCCGGGGUCAACUCGGAGGAAGGUGGGGAUGACGUCAAGUCAUCAUGCCCCUUAUGUCCAGGGCUUCACGCAUGCUACAAUGGCUGGUACAGAGAGUGGCGAGCCUGUGAGGGUGAGCGAAUCUCGGAAAGCCGGUCUCAGUUCGGAUUGGGGUCUGCAACUCGACCUCAUGAAGUCGGAGUCGCUAGUAAUCGCAGAUCAGCAACGCUGCGGUGAAUACGUUCCCGGGGCU